rnacentral:rRNA from 1 species
UACGUAGGGGGCAAGCGUUGUCCGGAAUUAUUGGGCGUAAAGAGCUUGUAGGCGGUCUGUCGCGUCUGCUGUGAAAAUCCGGGGCUCAACCCCGGACUUGCAGUGGGUACGGGCAGACUAGAGUGUGGUAGGGGAGACUGGAAUUCCUGGUGUAGCGGUGAAAUGCGCAGAUAUCAGGAGGAACACCGAUGGCGAAGGCAGGUCUCUGGGCCACUACUGACGUGAGAAGCGAAAGCAUGGGGAGCGAACAGG